UCAAAGAUAGCAAAAAAAGUGCAGCAGAUUUAAAAUCUGCACAUGAGUCUUUAAACUCUCUUUGAA
rnacentral:tRNA from 1 species